UCCAGCUUGCUGGAUGCUGACGAGCGGCGGACGGGUGAGUAAUGCAUAGGAAUCUGCCCGAUAGUGGGGGAUAACCUGGGGAAACCCAGGCUAAUACCGCAUACGUCCUACGGGAGAAAGGGGGCUCCGGCUCCCGCUAUGGGAUGAGCCUAUGUCGGAUUAGCUAGUUGGUGAGGUAACGGCUCACCAAGGCCACGAUCCGUAGCUGGUCUGAGAGGAUGAUCAGCCACAUCGGGACUGAGACACGGCCCGAACUCCUACGGGAGGCAGCAGUGGGGAAUAUUGGACAAUGGGGGAAACCCUGAUCCAGCCAUGCCGCGUGUGUGAAGAAGGCCCUCGGGUUGUAAAGCACUUUCAGCGAGGAAGAACGCCUAACGGUUAAUACCCGCUAGGAAAGACAUCACUCGCAGAAGAAGCACCGGCUAACUCCGUGCCAGCAGCCGCGGUAAUACGGAGGGUGCAAGCGUUAAUCGGAAUUACUGGGCGUAAAGCGCGCGUAGGUGGCUUGAUAAGCCGGUUGUGAAAGCCCCGGGCUCAACCUGGGAACGGCAUCCGGAACUGUCAAGCUAGAGUGCAGGAGAGGAAGGUAGAAUUCCCGGUGUAGCGGUGAAAUGCGUAGAGAUCGGGAGGAAUACCAGUGGCGAAGGCGGCCUUCUGGACUGACACUGACACUGAGUGCGAAAGCGGUGGGUAGCAAACAGGAUUAGA
rnacentral:rRNA from 1 species